CAAUGUUGGGGAUGCUGAACCAGAAGACGAAUUCCGAUGUAAUUUAUCGUCCUCGGACGAAGAUGAAGUAGAAUAUGAAGAGUAAUAAAUGUGUGAAGUAUAUGUUUAAUU
rnacentral:sRNA from 1 species